CAUUUGUCUUCAGAGCUUGCUGCUGCUAUGGCCUCUAGCUCAGAUGAAGCUCCAACUCCUUCAUCAGGCUGCUCCUCUUGACCUGGCUUUCUUCCACCUCUUGUCAUCAUCCUCUCACUGUGGCAUGGACGACACACUUCUGACACCACUUGUCAUAUGGAGACCUGCAGCGGCUGGAUUUACAGUGAGAAGACUUCCCCAAAUGCAGUGGAACAACACAUCUUUAUUUUCCAUGCAGCUCUUCCUACAAGAACUUCACAUCUAGCAUCUUUACAACACAACAGAAGAACAGAGAAAAACCCUCUGACAACUGGCAGCCUUAAAUACUUCCAGCUGUCACCGACUAAACCAUUCUUGCACUCACAGGUAGUUUCUUAAAUUCCCCCCUUCCACCAUAAUACACAACACAUCAACCUACAUAUAUACUUAACUACAUUUAACAUUCAUAUUAAUACAUAUCUCCCUCUUUAAUCUUACACAAACCCCAUAUUAUAAAACCCAAAAUCCCCAGCACAACAGAUUCCCCACUCUCCCUUAAGCCCUGGUCUCUCCCGGAACCUUUAAAUGGUGUCUGGACCCAGGGGACAUAUUUGCCCAAACACCUUGGAGAAACACAAGAAGAAAGACCCCACCACCUUCCUUGAUGAGGAGGCACUGCGCAGGAUCUGAACCAAAGCCACCAACUGACUUCAAGAUCCAAUAAACCAGCAAACCCCUGUAUGCCACUGUUCUCCUAUGCAAAUCCCUGGGUAAAGUACAAUGCUAAAUAAAAUACUAUUUAUUAAAAUAAAGAAAGAGUGUAUCACUAACAUACUAUCAAUUACAAUAAAAUAGUAAGGGAAUCCUCUCCCUUACAAG